ACCACGGUGGUCUAGCGGUUAGAACGCUGGCCUUGUAAUCCUGGGGUCUCGGGUUCGAUUCCCGGCGGUG
rfam:Zootermopsis nevadensis contig9618, whole genome shotgun sequence.